AGAAUCUCCUGCACUACAGAGCAGGUUUAUUAUACCCAGUGUAUAUUUCUGUUGUUCAGAUUAGUUUACGCUAACAUUGGUGAUCAGGAUAUUCUGUCAUAUGAAGCUGAUAUGAGUUGAUAAAACUCACUCAGUUAACUCGGGUUUCCCUCCCUGCACCUCCACAUGUGCUGUUUUCAUACAGUUAUGGAUAAACACUUCACGCAAGUCGAGCUGCACGAGAUUCACAGAAUUUACAGAAAAUGUUACAUUUUUGUGAUUUAUAUCGUUAUCGGACGAUAAAUGUUUUAUAUCAGGAUAUGAGAGUUUGGUCAUAUCGCACAGCCUUAGUAAGGAUGGAAAAGAAUGAUAAUACAUAAAUACAAUAGUACACAGAAUAAAUGCACUGCUCAAAAACCAAAGGGAAAACUUAAACAACACAAUGUAACUCCAAGUCAAUCACACUUCUUGAAAUCAAACUGUCCACUUAGGAAGCAACACUGAUUGACAAUCAAUGCCACACACUGUUGUGCACAUGGAUUAAACAACAGGUGGAAAUUAUUAGCAAGACAUCCCAAUAAAGGAGUGUUUCUGCAGGUGGUGACCACAGACCUUCUCUGUGCUGAUGCUUUCUGGCUCAUGUUUUGGUCACUUUUCAAUGCUGGCAGUGAUUUCACUCUAGUGAUAGAUUGAGACGAAGUCUACAAUCCACACAAGUGGCUCAGGUAGUGCAGCUCAUUCAGGAUCACAUCAAUGUGAGCUGUGGUAAGAAGGUUUGCUGUGUCUGUCAGUGUAGUGUCCAGAGCAUGGAGGCGCUACCAGGAGACAGGCCGCUACAUCAGAAGGUUGGAGGAGGGCAACAACCCAGCAGCAGGACCGCUACCUCCACCUUUGUGGAAGGAGGAUCAGGAGUAGCACUGCCAGAGUCUGCAAAAUGACCUCCAGCAGGCCACAAAUGUACACGUGUCUGCUCAAAUGGUUACAAACAGACUCCAUGAGGGUGGCAUGAGGGCCCGACGUCCACAGGUGGAGGUUGUGUUUACAGCCCAGCACCGUGCAGGACGUUUGGCAUUUGCCAGAGAACACCAAGAUGGCAACUUUGCCACUGGCAAUGAAAGCAGAAUCACACUGAGCACAUGUGACAGACGUGACAGAGUUUGGACACAGCGUGGAGAACCUUCUGCUGCCUCCAACACCCUCCAGCAUGAUGGUUUGACAGUGGGUCAGUAAUGGUGUGGGGUGGCAUUUCUUUGGAGGGCUGCACAGCCCUCCAUGUGUUCAUCAGAGGGAGCCUGAUUGCCAUUAGGUACUGAGAUGAGAUCCUCAGACCCCCCUUGUGAGAUCAUAUGUUGGUGCGGGUAGCUCUGGUUUCCUCCUAAUGCAAGACGAUGCUGAACCUCAUGUGGCUGCAGUGUGUCAGCAUUUCCUGCAGGACGAAGGCAUUGAUGCUGUGGACUGGUCCAGCUGUUCCCCAGACCUGAAUCAACCCAGCACAUCUGGGACAUGAUGUUUCGCUCCAUCCACCAACUGCACCACAGACUGUCCAGGAGUUGGCAGAUGCUUCAGUGCAGGUCUGAGAGGAGGUCCCUCAGGAGACCAUCCACCACCUCAUCAGGAGCAUGUCCAGGUGUUGUAGGUCAUACAGACACGUGGAGGCCACACACACUGCCGAGCUUCACUUUGACUUGUUGUAAGGACAUUACUGUAGUGUGUUUUUCCUCUUUGAGUGUGACUCCAAAUCCAGACCUCCAUGGGUUGCUACAUUUGAUUUCCACUCAUCAUUUUUGUGUGAUUUUGUUGUCACCACAUUCAACUAUGUAAAGUAUUUAAUAAGAAUAUUUCAUUCAUUCAGAUCUGGGAUUCUUAUUUUUGAGCAGUGUGCAACACAGACAGAGUCAACAGUGCAAGUGUUGGAAAUGAGAGGAGAGUGUUAUGUAGUCCAAGAAGUGUGUGGAGAGAGUCCAGUGUGGAGGAGGGCAGCAGGUGCUGCUCCUGUUGCUGCAGAGUCGUCUUCUGGACGGAAGGAGGAGUAAACAGUCUGUGGGAGGGUGAUGUGGGUCAGCCAUGAUGUUAGUGGCUUUCUGAAUGCAGGGUGAGGUGUAAAUAUCCUGCAGACGGGGCAGAGAGCUGCCAACAAUGCGCUCAGUGGUUCCCACAAUCCUCUGCAGGGCUCUGUGGUCGGACGUGUGACAGUUUCCAUAGAGACUGUGAUGCAGCUGGUUAGGAUGCUCUCUAUGGAGCCUCUGUAGAAGGUGUUAAGGAUGAGUUUGUGGAGGCGCACCUCCUUCAGUCGUCUCAGGAAGGAGUGUGUACUAGAUUACUCUUUAGGACAUUAGUCCUUAGCUGCACCAACGAGUCCUCAGCAACUGUUUAUUUAUUAAUGUCACAACUUAUUUUAUUACAACACUGGUAGAAUAAACAGUUUUUACUGAAUAAAGUUACACGUUUAAGAGUCAGUAAGUCACUUUAAAUAUUGUUUGUAUUUGAUAUUGAUUGAGCCUCAUCUUCAUCUUUGCUGCGGCCAUGAUUGUGACCCUUCUGUUAUAAUGUCAGCACAGCAUUCUUACCUGAACUGUCCUCACCUAAUCCUGUUGGACAUGGCAAAUAGAUUCAUGUAACUUACACUGCAUACAUAUUAAAAUGUUGUAAAUACAUGGUACCAAAUAUAUUAAUAGGACACUAUAUUAAGAACACAGGUUAAUGAAAUUAUUUAAACAUUAUAUUUUGAACAAUGUAAAUGUGUGAAAUGAAGAAUACAUUGAAAUGACAUAAAUAAUGUAACUUCAAAGAUGAAUUAUUGAUAUAGAAGAUUUAAUACUGAACUGGUUGCUUCAUGAAGGCUGAAUAUGAAAUAUUUGCUCUGUAGGACAUAACAUAGCAUCUAUAACACAUUCUAACACACAAACAUAUUCUAAUAUUAAACAAAGGAAUUCACUUUCACUCGUUCAUCAGUAAAGUCAGAGGCUGAGCUGGAGCUCGUGUCCCGUCACAGCCGUCACUCACACCAGAUGUGAGAGUAGUGCGUUUGUUCUGUGCAGCGUAACAAACUGGCUGAUUAAAGUCUAUAUUUACACUUUUUAUUUGAAUAUUUUAUUUAAUUUUAUCUGAGUAACAAUAGCAAAGUGAGCUGCUCUGAAAACAGGUGAGCGUGUCAGUGUUCACAGUAAUAUUCACAGGAAAUCUUAACACUUGUUAUACUUUUUAAGCCAUGAGGAGGUUUUUUAAACUCAGACUCUCCUCUAAGCUGCACUCUGACAACAGUCCAGCUCCAUCAAUGAUCCCAUUGUAGUUCUUAUUUGUUACAUGAUGUUUAUAGUGAGUGGACUUCUUUGCAUGCUGCUCAGUGUCUUUGUCCCUGUGAUGGGGUGUUGUUGUCACCCUGCUGGGUCCAUAGGAGCCUCUACCAGGAGGCUGAGGGGCAGCGUUGGAGGUCAUCAGUGUUUUUAUCCUCAAGUUACCAGAAAGGCUCAACUUGACUCUUUGUUGCAUUAUAGAGACAGAAGUUUAAAUAGUGUUUAACAGGACAAUCAAAGCUAAAAUGCUUUAAAAGAUGAACUCAUUAAAAAACACUAACAAAUCUUCAUGAUUCAAAUACUGAGAAGCUUCAACAACAAAUAUGUGUUCAAGCCAACAUGAUGUUUGCUCCUGUAACUGAUUGUUUUUCCAUCUUGUUCUCUAAAUAUUUUACCAAAGGGCUCCAUAACUAAUGUCAUUCAUUUUGUUUCUUAUCAUUGAAACUGUUGUAGAAAAUCCACUUUGUUAAGAAAACAGAGAAACGACCGUCUUUAUAUGAGACUUCAGAAAAAUGUUGUACAAGACAAACUGAACAACAUCAGAGCGACAUCAUGACUUCCUGUAACUUUUCUCUAUCCAGCUAAACAUGAGUACCUUCCAUUUUCUCCUGCAGAGGAUUCUGGGAAAAGUCCAUCGUGCACUGACGUCCUCUGUGUGUGUUUUAUUGUGCAGAUGCAGCUGCAGUCUGCUCAGCAGUGAGAACUGAAGACGUCAGUCAAAGAGAAGGAAAAACAGUCAGAGCUGAGAGGUACAGCUGCUCUUCUUUCAGUACAAACACCAUAAAUCUGUUGCUCACAAUCAAACUUUUCCUUUAUUUUUAAGUUUGUGUCACUUUUCAAACCAUGGUUACGAGUGCUUCCCAGAGACGAUGAGUGAAAGAGCAGAGAGUAAAUUAUGAAUCAAACUACGGCCACACAGACUCAAGUGUCAUGUAGUGAAUAACUUCCAACAGCUGGAUGAAUAAGAUGAGUUAAAGUUUAUAUAUUAGUCUUUAACAAUGAUUUAAAAGAAGACACUGAUGAGGCGAGCCAGAUUUCUUCAGGCAGGUCAUCCCAGGAUCGAGGAGUCCUCACAGCAAACAUUCAGUCGUCUUUAAGUGUGAGCUGGGAACAGUGAACAGAGUUUCUACCAGAGCCAAAUGUCAUCGACUCCUCACUGAACUCGUCCACCAGUCCAACCACUGGGAUCCAGCUGCUGCUCUCUAACUGGUCCACACAGCAGCUCAGACCUGACACAUUCACUGUAAACACACUGGUUUAUAUUCUGUUUGUUCUCCUCAUGAAGGAAACCUCACACAACCACUGAGGCCAGAAAGUUCAAAUGGAGAAUUAUUAUUAUUUUCUUUUAGAAAGGAGCUGGGAAAAUUUAACUUUCUUAAACUUUUUAUAUUAAAAAAUAACAUUUUCUACACCAGGCCUUUCAGAAUAAAAGCAUGACCAAGACAUGAUUUAUACAUAAACAGUAAUAAAUGUCUAAAAUGUAGAUGUAAUCCAUGUUUUCAUGUCUUCAGUAACUUUGCUGUUAUUUAUGUUAUUUCUAAGUGUGCUGUCGUCUCCACAGCAGUGAUCUGGUUUCUCUGCAGGUUCAAUAAACUUUGGUCUCACUUGA